ensembl:rRNA 5S_rRNA 5S ribosomal RNA
UGCCACAGACAUAUCACGCUGCAGUCCAAGACAGGUUACUCACCGAAGCUCAGCAGGGCUGAGCCUGGUCAGUACCUGGAUGGGAGACCACAUGGGAAAACUAGGUUGCUGUGGGGG